rnacentral:rRNA from 1 species
CCCUUAGACGUUCUGGGCCGCACGCGCGCUACACUGACCAGUGCAACAAGCAUCCGUCCUUGGCCGACAGGCCCGGGCAAUCUUUGAACGCUGGUCGUGAUGGGGAUAGACUUUUGCAAUUUUUGGUCUUCAACGAGGAAUUCCUAGUAAACGCAAGUCAUCAACUUGCAUUGAUUACGUCCCUGCCCUUUGUACACACCGCCCGUCGCUCCUACCGAUUGAGUGUGUUGGUGAGGAGUUUGGAUUGGCCUCGGAAGGUGGUUCGCCACCGUCCGUAGCUGAGAAGUUCUCCAAACCGCCCCACUUAGAGGAAGGAGAAGUCGUAACA